AAAAUUAUCGGUAAUUUUGAAGCACUUGUGCAAUUACCCCCGAUAAUUUCCGUAUACAAUGUUAUCGCAAUUGUAAUUUUCAGUAUAUUUAUUCUGUGCAUAAAUACUAUUCGAGGCAGCAAUAUUUGUCUUAGUUUUAGUGCUAUUUAAGAGCUCGGAGCGGUACUAUUUAAGAGAAAUAAAUACUUUUUGUCAGAGCUCCUAUGAAAGAAAUAUCUUGCUAAGCGUAUCUGUAUAUUCAGAUUAAUAUUUUGUUAAUUCAACUUGCCAAACAGCUGGAAAUUGGCAGAAAUCAUCAUGAUCUGUAAAACGGGGAUUAUAUUAAAGCCCUAUAAAUCUUAUAAGCCUAUAAUCAACGGUAUUUGAAAAUAUUAAAAACCAUACUGAAUGAUAAUAACAUUAUACCAUAAGAUCACUUCACGGCACUACAGAAUACAUAGAAUUGUAAACAAGGUAAAUCAACCUUUCGAUAGUAAGAGCUACUGUUCAGCUAUACUCUUCAACAUUUUAGAAGCCUUUGAUAAGAUACUUAUAUUGCUCAAAUUCCAUCCAUCUUCAUAACAGACAGUUUCUUUUCUCUUAAUGGAAGUAUUUAAGAAAAGUACUGGAUUAUGGUGGGAAGAUUCAGGUUUACCGGCCAUUCUCUUAAUGUCUUCUUUGAAGAAAGUACUUUUUUAUUAGAUUGUAAAAAUUGCAUUUUUAUUUACCUAGCAAAAAAUAUUUGUGUAAUAAUUUCUGAUCGGCACAUUUUGUUAUAGCUUUUUUCUGGGCCCUCAUUUCAUAAACGUGGAUUUUUUAAAUAAUUAUUUAUGUUUAUAGUGCCCCCUAUAACCUCUUUAUCAUAUUAUAGAAGUUAAUAAAAGUAUUUCAUGUUUUUGGUAAUUACUGCGCUUUCGAACGUGCGAGAAUUGAUAAUAAAAAUGAUAAGUAAUCCAUCAAAGUGGACUGAUGAGUUGUUCGGAGAACUGCUGUUAUGUUGAAACACAUUUUGAUAAAAAUGUUUUUGGUUGGUUUCUGGGUUGAUACACAUCAUGACCAGUAUACAAGAGACCUGACAUAUAUUUAGACAUCAUACAGGGUUGAUAAAUACGGAAAACGGGACUUUGGACAAUUCUAAAAAUCAGAUUUUCGUAAUCUGGCAAUUAAGUAUUUACAGUAAUGUAUUGCUGCCGCUUAUACCAUAAAGUAGCAUCUGCAUUGUUAUCUCAAUGAGAUACAGAGAAGAAAAGUUUGUUUUGCAUUUUAAAGGGUUGAGUGAAGUUAAUGGUUUUCCGAUAAAAAUUAUUUUAAAUAGAACACCCAAAUAAGAGUAAGUAGUGCUAAGACUGAACUGACUUUAAUUCAGCAAUUUUUUAUGAGAAAUGUGAUUAAAUUUCCGACAAGUUAGAAUGUUAAAUUAAAAUUUCAAAUUAAGAAAUGGACAAAAACUGCGUUGGUAUUUUAUCUUUUCGCUUAAGGUGUACUCGAAGUUUUUCUACCCCUGAUAAAAUAUAGUACAUUUUUUUAAUUACGAAUUACAUUUGCCCCCCGGCCAUACCCACCUUACCACUACACUUUUAACUUUACCGGAUCAGCUUGCAAUCAAUAGUAGCAAUUGUUUUAUGCAAUUUUUACGAAACUUUGCACUUGUUAGUAAUUCAGUCGCAUUUCGCAUAAACGCUAAUUUAGCAUUACCGUUUACGUCUAUAAUUGAAAUAUAUUGAAACCUUCAAAUGUCCAAAGUCUAAUGUACCUAUGCUUAAUUGUGCCGGCAAAGACCGUUUAUAGUAUCGCAAAUAACUUGCUAGUAAUUUAGAAAGUUCAUUUAAUGCAUUGUGCUUCAGCUUCAAUAGUUCAUUUAUUCUAUUUUUUUCAGUUUUUAAGUAACUUUAAGUAAAUAACUUUUAAGUUUCAGCAACUAUCCCUUGAAGAAUGGCGAUACAAACUUUCGGAUUUUUUUUUUAAUUCAAAUCGGAUUAUUUAUUCUAAGUAGUAAAUUUUUAGCAAAGCUUACCAUUUAAGAUUACUUUAACUAUAACAGUUGGACAGAAACUAAUCGAUAUUAAAUAAGUUCUUAUUAAA